CCUACGGGAGGCAGCAGUGGGGAAUAUUGCACAAUGGGCGCAAGCCUGAUGCAGCCAUGCCGCGUGUGUGAAGAAGGCCUUCGGGUUGUAAAGCACUUUCAGCGGGGAGGAAGGCGUUAAGGUUUAUAACCUUGUCGAUUGACGUUACCCGCAGAAGAAGCACCGGCUAACUCCGUGCCAGCAGCCGCGGUAAUACGGAGGGUGCAAGCGUUAAUCGGAAUUACUGGGCGUAAAGCGCACGCAGGCGGUCUGUCAAGUCGGAUGUGAAAUCCCCGGGCUCAACCUGGGAACUGCAUUCGAAACUGGCAGGCUAGAGUCUUGUAGAGGGGGGUAGAAUUCCAGGUGUAGCGGGGAAAUGCGUAGAGAUCUGGAGGAAUACCGGUGGCGAAGGCGGCCCCCUGGACAAAGACUGACGCUCAGGUGCGAAAGCGUGGGGAGCAAACAGGAUUAGAUACCCGUGUAGUC
rnacentral:rRNA from 1 species